AUUCCAUAAUGAGGGCACUUUCGUAAUAACUCUUUGUACCUUUCCCAUGCUUCAUACAAGGACUCAUCAUCCAUUUGUUGGAAGGCAAUGACCUCGUUCCUCAAAUU
rfam:Gossypium arboreum cultivar AKA8401 contig_37175_1, whole genome shotgun sequence.